CGCUGUGAGGCGUUGAGCUAACCAAUACUAAUUGCCCGUGAGGCUUGACCAU
rnacentral:rRNA from 3 species